rnacentral:rRNA from 1 species
CAGCAGCCGCGGUAAUACGGAGGAUCCAAGCGUUAUCCGGAAUCAUUGGGUUUAAAGGGUCCGUAGGCGGUCUUGUAAGUCAGUGGUGAAAGCCCAUCGCUCAACGGUGGAACGGCCAUUGAUACUGCAGGACUUGAAUUAUUGGGAAGUAACUAGAAUAUGUAGUGUAGCGGUGAAAUGCUUAGAGAUUACAUGGAAUACCAAUUGCGAAGGCAGGUUACUACCAAUUGAUUGACGCUGAUGGACGAAAGCGUGGGUAGCGAACAGGAUUAGAGACCCCUGUAGUCCCUGUCUCUUAUAC